rnacentral:rRNA from 1 species
AUGAACGCUGGCGGCGUGCCUAAUACAUGCAAGUCGAGCGAACAGACGAGGAGCUUGCUCCUCUGACGUUAGCGGCGGACGGGUGAGUAACACGUGGAUAACCUACCUCUAAGACUGGGAUAACUUCGGGAAACCGGAGCUAAUACCGGAUAAUAUAUUGAACCGCAUGGUUCAAUAGUGAAAGACGGUUUUGCUGUCACUUAUAGAUGGAUCCGCGCCGCAUUAGCUAGUUGGUAAGGUAACGGCUUACCAAGGCAACGAUGCGUAGCCGACCUGAGAGGGUGAUCGGCCACACUGGAACUGAGACACGGUCCAGACUCCUACGGGAGGCAGCAGUAGGGAAUCUUCCGCAAUGGGCGAAAGCCUGACGGAGCAACGCCGCGUGAGUGAUGAAGGUCUUCGUAUCGUAAAACUCUGUUAUUAGGGAAGAACAAAUGUGUAAGUAACUAUGCACGUCUUGACGGUACCUAAUCAGAAAGCCACGGCUAACUACGUG